CUUGACUCUAAAACUGCUGAAAGUUUGGUUGAAAAAUUGAAGAAAUUGCCAAUUUUGCCAGCUUAGCAAAAUCGGUCUCAAAAUCGGUGUUUUCACCCAACUGCGCUUUUUCCUU